rnacentral:rRNA from 1 species
CUUUUAUGGAGAGUUUGAUCCUGGCUCAGGACGAACGCUGGCGGCGUGCCUAAUACAUGCAAGUCGAGC